GCUCAGCGCAGAUUCUACCAGUACCUCCAGACCCGCAAGUCCGGGUGGCCCGGGCCUGGGUCUUCACCUCCUGCCCCUCCCAGCAGAUAGCUCGCAUCCCCUCCAGGUUCUUCCUCCUCAGCCCUACCGCAGCCAACUGCAGCAACCGGUUCUCGUCCUUCUCUAAAGCCUCCCGACUCAGAGCUCCAGGGUAGGUUUCAGCUUCUCCCCACAGCACCGACGGGACAGGAGUUAGGGAACACAGGUCAUUUUAAACAGGAUAGUCGGGAAGUUGGACAGCCCGGGAGGCGGAAUGCUUUUGCGCUGGGUCCUGAGGAGGGACUGAUGGCCAGAAAAAGCUGAGUGGCACGAUGAGACAAUAUGCUGGGCCUUCAGAAUGAGGCCAAAGCCCUAUUCCUGGAGCCCACCCGACCUUCAAGGACCAGUGCUUCCUCCCACCAGUGCCCUUACUAGGGACAUCUGCUGGUGAAGAUCUAACCCACCAGAGCAGAAGAGAGGGGACUUGUCUCUGCCUCUCCUCUUUGGUCCAAAUAAGCCAGUAAAAUGUCCCAGCUGCGGCUCACAGACCCAGCUACCGCCUCCUCAGGGUGCUGAAGGGAUGGUGGGUUUCACCCCUCACCCCACUCCGCCCCCAUCAGAAAAGAGAGGAACCGGGUGCUUCAGCUGUUGUUUAUUGACACACAGGUAGGCUCUAUAGCAACGGGCCUGGAGGCGGCUGCAGUAGUGGGGAAAAUGGGAGGGUGGAGUGUGCCUGCAGCGACAGCUGAGUGUAGGAACAGACGUGCACAAUGCACAAGGGGGAAGUGGGGGAGACGGAGGGGGGUGGAGAAGCAAGUAAGGGCCCGAGCCAGUCUCCUGAAACUGGAACCACUGCCCUAUGCUGCUACUCUUGCUGGUGGUCUCUUGACCCCAGGCCAGGAUUGGGAGUUCUCUGAGCAUGUUUUCUACAGGAACAGAAUGGAGUACGCAGAGGAGAAGAAGCAGGAGCUGUUGCCCUCCAGGUUAAACUCCAGGGCUUCCAGUCCUGCACCCUU